GACGAACGCUGGCGGCGUGCUUAACACAUGCAAGUCGAACGAUGAAGCCGGAGCUUGCUCUGGUGAAUUAGUGGCGAACGGGUGAGUAACACGUGAGUAACCUGCCCUUGACUCUGGGAUAACUGCUAGAAAUGGUAGCUAAUACCGGAUACGACCCUCGGAGGCAUCUCCAGGGGGUGGAAAGAAUUUCGGUCAAGGAUGGGCUCGCGGCCUAUCAGCUAGUUGGUAAGGUAACGGCUCACCAAGGCGACGACGGGUAGCCGGCCUGAGAGGGUGACCGGCCACACUGGGACUGAGACACGGCCCAGACUCCUACGGGAGGCAGCAGUGGGGAAUAUUGCACAAUGGGCGCAAGCCUGAUGCAGCAACGCCGCGUGAGGGAUGACGGCCUUCGGGUUGUAAACCUCUUUUAGUAGGGAAGAAGCGAAAGUGACGGUACCUGCAGAAAAAGCACCGGCUAACUACGUGCCAGCAGCCGCCGUAA
rnacentral:rRNA from 1 species